rnacentral:rRNA from 1 species
CCUACGGGAGGCAGCAGUGAGGAAUAUUGGUCAAUGGGCGCGAGCCUGAACCAGCCCAGUAGCGUGAAGGAUGACUGCCCUACGGGUUGUAAACUUCUUUUAUAAAGGAAUCAAGUGAGGCACGUGUGCCUUUUUGUAUGUACUUUAUGAAUAAGGCUCGGCUAACUCCGUGCCAGCAGCCGCGGUAAUACGGAGGAUCCGAGCGUUAUCCGGCUUUAUUGGGUUUAAAGGGAGCGUAGAUGGGUUGUUAAGUCCGUUGUGAAAGUUUGCGGCUCAACCGUAAAAUUGCAAUUGAUACUGGCAGUCUUGAGUACAGUUGAGGUAGGCGGAAUUCGUGGUGUAGCGGUGAAAGGCAUAGAUAUCACGAAGAACGCCGAUUGCGAAGGCAGCUUACUAAACUGCCACUGACAUUGAUGCUCGAAAGUGUGGGUAUCAAACAGGAGUAGAUACCCGUGUAGUC